UAGGGAAUAUUGGGCAAUGGAGGGAACUCUGACCCAGCCAUGCCGCGUGCAGGAUGAAGGCGUUAUGCGUUGUAAACUGCUUUUAUAUAGGAAGAAAUAGUCCUUGCGAGGAAAGUUGACGGUACUAUAUGAAUAAGCACCGGCUAACUCCGUGCCAGCAGCCGCGGUAAUACGGAGGGUGCAAGCGUUGUCCGGAUUUAUUGGGUUUAAAGGGUGCGUAGGCGGUUUAUUAAGUCAGUGGUGAAAGACGGUCGCUCAACGAUUGCAGUGCCAUUGAUACUGGUAGACUUGAGUAUGAUUGAGGUAGCUGGAAUGGAUAGUGUAGCGGUGAAAUGCAUAGAUAUUAUCCAGAACACCAAUUGCGUAGGCAAGUUACUAAGUCAUAACUGACGCUGAGCACGAAAGUGUGGGUAUCAAACAGGAUUAGAUACCCUUGUAGUCCCUGAGCGGGCUGGCAAGGCGCAU
rnacentral:rRNA from 1 species